rnacentral:misc_RNA from 1 species
CCUUUACAAAUGCUUUCCAAGCUUCAGGCUUUCCACUAAACAUUUUUGUUUCUGGACUCCAUACAAAACCACUCGCACCACUAAAAAGGUCGAAGCACUCCUUAAAAUUGUUUUUGAGGCUCUUCAAACGAUUCUUCUAGUGAUCUUUCUGAAAUGGCAUGCCACUCCUUGCAAGCAAAUCCUUCAACAUAUCAUGUUGUGAAAGCAUUAUCAACCCUGUUUCCCAGCCUUUGUUGAUGAACAAGUGCAUCCCUUGCCUGUGCAUAGACGUACAAGAUAAACAACAGCAGCAAUUAAGUCACUGAUUUUCACCUUUAGGUACAUCAAAUAACAACUUGCAAGAGAAUUUCUAAAGGCUGUUUAAAGUUUAAAUUCAUAAUGUUUUUUUAAGAAAUCAUGUAAUGAUACAAGACUAAAAACAUUUGGACAUGAAAAGACUAGUGGUUGCAUUAAAACAAAUGUAUAAAAUUUGGCUAUGAAUGUUCUUCCCAUUAAAGCAGUCAUUAGCAGGCAUAAAAUUCCCCUCCCCUGGCCCCUGCCCUGACUCAUUGCAAGUAUACACGUCCCCAUCCCACAAUUCAAGUUGAGGCAAAGAUAUUGCCACCUAUCAGCCACCGACACUGUGGGACAUCGGCAUGCUCUGUAUACAGAGCGAUUUCCAUUUCGUCAAAUCAAACUGUGGAAACAUAAAUUGAAGAGUAACUGGGGGAAAAUUGUAGAAAAAGAAAAUAUUGCAUACAGAAGGGAUAUUCAUUAUCUCCUCUUAUGGAGAAUUAACAAUCCCUUUAGCAUUUCCAACAUUCCCUUACCCAUAGAAACGAUAAGCCAAAAGAAAAUGAAAAAUAAAGAAAAAAGUGCAAAGCCAUGAGCAUCAGUUCAUGGGAUGUCAACAAAUGAACUUACCUGAAGUUCAGAGAUCAAGUGUAACCCAUCAUAUGCGCUGACUAGGCAACUAUAUAUACAAACUACCAUGCGAAUGCGAGAAAAUUAACAGAGACACCCGUGAAAUUGUUACUGAACUAAACACAUUCUUUUUGUUUCAACAAAUAGACGAUAAUACCCGGUAAAAAGAAAAUCAUAAUGAAGAAAUCGAUAAAAUUGUGCCAAACAAGACUCCCAAGUUCUAGCACCAGGCCAGAUUGAACUCUCCACCCCCACCCAACAUCCAUAAAAUUAAAAUCAACUGAAGCAGCUAAUCAUUCAGGAGCUGUUUCUGCAAACAAACAGCCGCAAUUCAAACAAAUACAAUAAUCUCUAAGGGAAACUUUCUAAAUCCCUUUCAUUCUUCAAGAAAGAACAGCUCAAUGACCUAAAUAGUUAAUCCAAAUGAAGAACAAUCAACUUGUUCUCAUACAUUUACAGACGUCCCGUAAUCUAAAGAGUCCUAAUAUAAAAAAUAGUAAAAAUCUCGCAGUUUCUUGUUAAUGUUGUACCAAAAAAACCCCAAUAGGGUUCGCAAUCCGAUGCUCGUAGGGUAACUUUUAGCAACAAAAGAUUACUCGACGAGCAUGAAAGUGAAACACGCCGCCUAGGCUAAGGAAUCGAAGUUUUACGAAGAAAGGGAAGGGAGAGAGGAAAGCAAAGGUGCUAAAUCCCCG